UAGUGGCGAACGGGUGAGUAACACGUGAGUAACCUGCCCUUGACUCUGGGAUAAGCCUGGGAAACCGGGUCUAAUACUGGAUACGACCUUCCCACGCAUGUGGUGUUGGUGGAAAGCUUUUGUGGUUUUGGAUGGACUCGCGGCCUAUCAGCUUGUUGGUGGGGUAAUGGCCUACCAAGGCGACGACGGGUAGCCGGCCUGAGAGGGUGACCGGCCACACUGGGACUGAGACACGGCCCAGACUCCUACGGGAGGCAGCAGUGGGGAAUAUUGCACAAUGGGCGCAAGCCUGAUGCAGCGACGCCGCGUGAGGGAUGAAGGCCUUCGGGUUGUAAACCUCUUUCAGUAGGGAAGAAGCCGGNUCUUUGGGUUGGUGACGGUACCUGCAGAAGAAGCGCCGGCUAACUACGUGCCAGCAGCCGCGGUAAUACGUAGGGCGCAAGCGUUAUCCGGAAUUAUUGGGCGUAAAGAGCUCGUAGGCGGUUUGUCGCGUCUGCCGUGAAAGUCCGGGGCUUAACCCCGGAUCUGCGGUGGGUACGGGCAGACUAGAGUGCAGUAGGGGAGACUGGAAUUCCUGGUGUAGCGGUGAAAUGCGCAGAUAUCAGGAGGAACACCGAUGGCGAAGGCAGGUCU
rnacentral:rRNA from 1 species